UUGUAUUAGAAGAAUAGUUUGAAGUUAUCAACAAUUUCAAGACCGAAAUAUAGUUUUAUGAAACACACUCAGCACUAAUCCUCUGAUUUUAACAUUCAUGAAGGUCUACAGAGAAAGCCUUGCUCUUAAAACACUUUCUGUAAGGCCAUGCUGGUUAUCCGGUUAUUAUUGGAGACUUUCCAGGGUAAAUGAGUAAUCAUACUGCUGGCAAAUUUCCAAAGUGAAAAAAGUCACCAAAUCUCUAUAAACCAUGAGGCAACGGGCACAUGCUGAACCAAACUCAACAUGCAUUCUUUGUUUUGUAUGCUGAUUGUGUUUGACUCGUGAUUCAUUCAUGAUUUGAGCCAGUGUCACAUUUGUGAUUUCCUUCAUCUUGAAUGCCUGAAUCUUUGCAGUGGACUGAAUAGGCACUCCUAUAUGUGAUAUUAUUUGUGACUAUGUGACAUUAGACAAAGUCAGACAUACUUCGGUAUCCAGCCUCAGUGCUUCGUUUCUCUUGCGUGACUAUCCAGAUUUACAUCAGGAGGGACCAAAAUGCACAAUAAUAGAAACAAAUAUAUCUGAGGGACUGCUCAGUUUGAAGACAAUGUUACUGAGGCAGGAGGAAGAGUGGAUGCGCUGGAUGCCAGAUGUUGAAGACAAAGCUUCCUGGUAGGAGAAAAUAGAGAAAAACAACAGAGGCAUCCAUCCAUCAAUCCGUCCCAGGGGACCGGCUCACUUUUUAAAGGAAAGUGAGCAAAUUAUUUCUCCAAACACACGAAGGACUUUCAGCUUCUCAUCUCUUCGUAUCAAAAAAAGGCACAACAGUGAGGAUGAGGGUCGAUUUGAUCGAAGGAGGGGGUUGCGAUCUUUUUCAUCAGCUCGAGAACCAUCCAGAAAAGUUGUAGAAGAAGAUGCCCCUUCAGAAGUAAGUCGGGUGCAGGAGCUGUUAAAGAAAUUUGGCUCAACAUUGUUCAGGCUGGGACCAUCUUACGGAAAACUUGUGUAUGUGAAAAACAAUGAUUCUACCCAAUCGGGUCUUUUCAACCCGGCAAGCCCCGCCAACGUUGAAUGUUGAACGCCAGCAUCCGCUCCACAGCACACUGAAGAGGGCCGAACGUUGUUUUUUCCGCCGUACUUGAACGCAGCAGAGCCGCGGUGCUCCUGUCGUGGGCUGUGUGUCUUCUGUGAAAGCGGACGGGUGCGUGGUGUGAGCGGGGAUGGAGACGAUUAACUGCCGCCGUGGAGCGUCAGAGAGAAGCCGCUGAGGUGAACGGCGUCUCGGUGGAUUCUAGCAGCGAUGAGUGAAACGGUGACGAGGAGAAGAAAGGCACUGGGGCUGAAGACCUUUAAGCAAAGAUGGAGUGAGUUUAAAGCUGCUUGGGGAAUUGUCGUGUCUGGCGUGUGACAUAAUUAAAAACCAGCUCAUGGAGGUAUUCAGCAAGGUUUUUGGUGCUGGGAAUAUCUAGUUGUGCUGAACCGUGGACGGAGUUUAGUUGUUACCCGUCGGGGAAACUUUAGAAUAGUGCUGUUCUGUCUGCGAAGGUUCGCUGCACUGAGCGGUCUGUCAGCGGCUGCACGGUGAGCUGCAGGACGCCACAGGGCGGCCCCUGUGAAAAUCUUUUCC